AUCGAUUUAGUCAGAGGAAUACUUGUUUCAUUUUUUUAUUCUUUACUAAAUGGCACUUUUUUUUGGAAUUAACUUGUUUAUUUUUUUUGGAAUUAACAUAAAAAAAAAGUCUGACAGUAAAAGUAUUAAAACUAAUACUAGCUAGGGAAGAAAUUAAUUAAUAAAAAAAUUGAAAAGAGCUCAGGAGUGCUGUCAUCAUCCGAUGAUCAGACUAUAUGUUGGUAUUUCGAUCAGACAUAUUUUUGUGGAUUCG
rnacentral:lncRNA from 1 species